ensembl:lncRNA
CUUUAUCUUUUGGGGCAGUCAUGGCCUAAUGGAUAUUCUAUGAAACCUGAAGGUCGCCGGUUCGAGUCUCAGGUCGGACAGAGAUUGUAGGUGGGGGAGUGAAUAUCCAGUGCUCUCUCCACCCUCAAUACCACAACUGAGGUGCUGGACCAGGAACCAAUUAUCUGGAGAUGUGUCUUGGGUCCCAAAAUAUCAUUGUCAGGCUGCCACACGCCAAGAGAUAAAAGAGAAUGAAUGGAGUCAAAUCCCAAAGUGACAUGACAGACUGGCUUCUUUUCCCUAUCUCUUCCAAAAAGGAACUGAUGUUGAAUUGUAUUCAUAAUUUAAGCCUUUGAGACGUAGAAAAAAGAUUGAAAACAGUCCCAUGGCCAGUGACUAUAUCCACCCUAAGGCCAGGAGAUGGAAAAUGAGAAAAUGACACUUGUGAAGACCUGGCCUUGGAUGACUGAUUAGAAGUGACUCAUUGACAGCAUGAGCUCGGCACAGCCAGAGCGGGUCAUCCCAGGUGGACUACGUUAUAGUGUCAAAGGCCUUUUGCCAUGGGAAGGUAAGAUGAAAUCUAUGAAGCUGAAUGCACUACUUUGGAAACAAAGGUCUUCAUUACUCUUUAGUAGAGGUCUUCACGGGUCCAAAAAAUGUCUACCCGGACCCG